UCCAAACAUAUGAUGGUGGAUCAAAUUCGAAGAGACGAAGUAGGAAGCUCACUAAAGGAAGGGGGUUAGGUGGGGGUUCGCAUUGUUUUUAUUAUUAAAAAGGGGGCUACUGCGGCACGACAUUGGCAUUUGUGUCGCUCCCCCCUCAUCUAACGGCUAUUGAUCCAAGUCUGUCUGCAAUGAAUGGCUGCAACGGGGAAGAAGAAAAGGAAGAAGAGAAAGAGGAGAAGAAGGAGGGGGGGACCAUGAACUUCAGCAAUGAAGUUGAGGUGCUAGCUAAAGCUAGCCGAGCUUCGGUGCGGGGAGAAAGCAGCGCAGACUCCGGCUCGUCUGAUCCGGGUGACCCUUCGUUUUAUUGCGGUCACACACCCCGGGUUCUCCGCCCCUCCGGAGAAGCCACCUAACCAGGCGGACAUGUUGGCGAAAACACCGCGGUGGCGGUCUCUUUUCCCCCACCCCAGCUACCACCAUCACCGUCGUCUUCCUCCUCCUCGUCCUCUGCCCCCGCACACAAACAACCAACAACCUUUAGCGAGCCAUGGGGUUCUUUUUUCGGAGGGGGGGGGGGGAAGAAAAUCGAUUAUGAACGUCUCGCUCGCUUACGGUUCCUCCCGCUGCUCUUGGGGCUGGCUAAAGCGUCGCCAACAACAUGGCUGCCUCGCUCGGACCCGCAAAAAAAAAGAAAAAAGAAAAGAAAAAAAGAAGAACCCGGGGAGGAAUAUAACCUAGCCUCUUUUGUCUCUUUCACCUCUUUAAC